UCUUGGACAAAGAACAUUCCAGGCAGCAACCCUGAGAUGCAGAAUGCCUAGUUAGUUAAAGGAGAGCAAGAAGGCCAUGUACAGUAUCUGUGCAGAGGUAUUUGUAACCCACACCAGUCCAAUUUCUCUGAGAAGCAGAACAUCUGAGGCAAGCCAAUGAGAACUGGCUACAAGGAGAUAAAUGGGAAAUGUUCUUCACUCUAUCUUCCUAACCCAAAGCUAUGAACAACCAGCCUCAACAUCAGGAACAAGGUGGAAUCACAGACUGAAGCAUGGCAGUGAUGAUCAGGUCCAUCCUUAACUCUGAAUUGUCCAUCUGCUAACUGGAAAUGACUUGCUUCUAUCCUCACAUGUAACGCAGAGAUGCAAAGAUUUUUCUUGAAGACGGUUCACAGCUGGGAUAUAAUGCAUGUGUUACUGGACUAAAGGGGGUCUCUUCCACAGAAUCUUUUAAGUCAGUAAUGUGAAGUCAUCUUCAUGUUCUCAUUCCCCCAUCUUCCUCAGUCUGAACAGUGUGGAUAUGCAACAAAGGAUAUGCUGGAGUACCACAUUUUUAUUUUCAUAAGAGAAAGACAAAUUGUUGCUUUCUGUGCUAAAAAUGCCAGGGUGAGGUGGUAGGCAUUUGAUACUGUGGUCCCCUCCUGUUACACAUUGGCCAGGGGUCAACUGCCCUGAGUUGACUCGCCAGCAUUUUGUCUCAUUAUGUACUGUGGAGCAGCCAACUGAUCCACACCCUCCUAAUCUUUCUGUCAUUAGUGAUUGGCCCUCAUUCUGGCAGGUUUCUGGCUUGAAACUGAACACUUGUGACAAGUUCUACAAAGAUGAGAAUUUAGCCAAGGGGCUCUUUCGUCAAUUAAGACAUUUCAUCCCACAAUUGCCACCAGGGGCUUUCCAGGGCUCAUGAGGUUCCCACUGCUGUCUGGAUUUCAAGAAUGAAAAGAAAAAUGUGAGCCCUUCUGAAGGCCUUCAUUCCAUCACAGGGAAAGGGGCGCCUCACCCUCUCACUUAAACGCUCGCUAGGAAGGAGACAUCCACACGAGAAACACUUCCCCAUGAGUGACUGUCCACUGGUGACUGUCUAGUAACUUGAAUUAUCUAGACAGCCAAAGAAAAUAAAUCAGACCUGAGAUACCACUUUGGGUCUGAAUUAUCCAAACUGGCUGUCUAACCGGGCUGCUAAUUCAGACAGGUCCUAAUUCACAGGAAAAUUGCUGACGUUUCUGCCACAGAUGUUGAAAGUCGGCCUCGAGUUUCUCCAUAUUAUGUUACACAGUGACUGUACAGACAUGCUCUUAAGUACAAUAUACUUCUUAUAUGGUGAUGUGUAUGUGGUUUAAAGUCAAUGGAAGCCUGGAGUGAUCCUCUGGCUUGUUUGUUUGUUUGUUUGUUUGUUUGUUUACUGUUGCUGUUGCAGCCCAAUUCACAAUUAGUCGUUUGGUGUAAAACACCAGGCUUUACUCUGAUUGGCACUUUUAAAACGUGCUUGUUUUUCUCAGGUCAUAUUUCCUUUUUAGAUGAUUUAGGAAUUUUAAUAAACUGUAAUCCAAAAGCGCUCAAAAUGUUCUCUGUGGUCUUCUGGGAAGAAGAGUCAUCGAUGAACCCAGGGCUGAAGCUGAAUUAUGUUUGAAAAUGUAAAGGCCGAGC